CCUACGGGAGGCAGCAGUGGGGAAUAUUGCACAAUGGGGGGAACCCUGAUGCAGCGACGCCGCGUGGGUGAAGAAGCACCUCGGUGCGUAAAGCCCUAUUGGCAGGGAAGAAAAGCGAACCGGUUCGCCUGGACGGUACCUGACUAAGAAGCCCCGGCUAACUACGUGCCAGCCACCGCGGUAAUACGUAGGGGGCAUACGUUAGCCGGAUUCACUGGGUGUAAAGGGAGCGUAGACGGCGGCGCAAGUCUGGAGUGAAAGCCCGGGGCCCAACCCCGGGACUGCUCUGGAAACUGCGGCGCUGGAGUACGGUAGGGGCAGGCGGAAUUCCUGGUGUAGCGGUGAAAUGCGUAGAUAUCAGGAGGAACACCGGCGGCGAAGGCGGCCUGCUGGACCGUGACUGACGUUGAGGCUCGAGAGCGUGGGGAGCAAACAGGAUUAGAUACCCUUGUAGUC
rnacentral:rRNA from 1 species